CUAACACUCACACACACUAACACUCACACACACUAACACUCACACACACUAACACUCACACACACUCUAACACUCACACACACUCUAACACUCACACACUCUCUAACCAUCACACACACUAACACUCACACACACUAACACUCACACACACACACUCUAACACUCACACACUAACACUCACACACACUAACACACACUCUAACACUCAC